rnacentral:rRNA from 1 species
UACGUAGGGUGCAAGCGUUGUCCGGAAUUAUUGGGCGUAAAGAGCUCGUAGGCGGUUUGUCGCGUCUGCUGUGAAAACGCGAGGCUCAACCUCGCGCCUGCAGUGGGUACGGGCAGACUAGAGUGCGGUAGGGGAGAUUGGAAUUCCUGGUGUAGCGGUGAAAUGCGCAGAUAUCAGGAGGAACACCGAUGGCGAAGGCAGGUCUCUGGGCCGAUACUGACGCUGAGGAGCGAAAGCGUGGGGAGCGAACAGG